AACGAACGCUGGCGGCGCGCCUAAUACAUGCAAGUCGAGCGAGAAGGUGUAGCAAUACACUUGUAAAGCGGCGAACGGGUGAGGAAUGCAUGGGUAACCUACCCUCGAGUGGGGAAUAACUAGCCGAAAGGUUAGCUAAUACCGCAUACGUUUCCGGAACUUCGGUUUCGGAAAGAAAGCAAUACCGUGGGUAUUGCGCUCCUGGAUGGGCUCAUGUCCUAUCAGCUUGUUGGUGAGGUAACGGCUCACCAAGGCUUCGACGGGUAGCUGGUCUGAGAGGACGAUCAGCCACACUGGCACUGCGACACGGGCCAGACUCCUACGGGAGGCAGCAGUAAGGAAUAUUGCGCAAUGGACGAAAGUCUGACGCAGCGACGCCGCGUGAGUGAUGAAGGCCUUCGGGUUGUAAAGCUCUUUUGGCGGGGACGAUGAUGACGGUACCGCAGAUAAGCCCCGGCUAACUUCGUGCCAGCAGCCGCGGUAU
rnacentral:rRNA from 1 species